UUGACAGCCCUGGAAAUUGAAGUCCUCUAUUUCUCCACAGGACAGGUAUAGCAUGGGCGGCAGCAAUGCAAGCUUCCCCACACUAUCCCGCCAAUGUGUCUCAACCCUGUUCUGAAGAGAUCACUUCUGGAGGUGAGUGGGUAGCUUCAGGCCUUGGCUACUCUGGUUGCCAACA
rnacentral:sRNA from 1 species